rnacentral:lncRNA from 1 species
CCUCACUGCUGCACCCCAGUGCCUGGAGAGUGUGGGCCCAGAAGGCAUCUGAUAAACACCUGCAGGAGGAGCGAGGGCACUGGAAGGGGGUGGGCGGAGAGAGCCUCUGCUUGACUUGGAAAGUGCAAGAGCAUAGGCCCUACCAUGCGAAACAGUGCCACGACACACACCGUGCACACACAGGAAGGAAGCCCGCUGCGUGGACGUGAUUCCCUGGGUGAACAGUCACACUCCUCAUGGGGAGCUGGUGCAGGUGCCUGUUGGGCUGGCCUUGGUUUGUGCAGCACUUGCGGUUCACAGGGGCUCAGAGGAGCAAGUCAGUGCCCAAGAUUACAUAACACCAAGGGGCCAGCCCUGUGUCCUUCACAGUGCACCUGCCACCAGGAGAAAGGAAGGUCUGGAAGUUGAAGCUACUCUGCCAUCAAAAGAAAGAGCUGGGACAGCCUCUCUUCCAGGGUGCAGUUUCUGUUCAUCUCACACACUCAUUCCAAGCCCUACCAACAUCCAGGGGAGCUGACUGACAGGAGGAAGGUUGGUGGCCAAAGGUCAGCCUGUUUUAGGGCAACUUCAGAGGACUCCUAGGCAGCUACCCUGCCCACAGGCAUUCCCUGCGGCCUACCGCCCACCGCUCUGCGCUCUGGUCCUCCCCUCAGGGGGUCAGAAAACUUGCUGUGCUGUGCAGAAACCACAGAUGCGCGGACUUGCACCCUGUACUUCCUUUAUCAUCGGAAGUUCUCCCUAAUGGAAGGCAGGGAAGAAACAGCCCUCCGCAAAAGAUAAGGAGCAGAAGCCGAGCGAAAAGCCAGAACCCUGCGGGCAUCUCCCCGGGGAGGAGGGCAGGCUGUGGAUGAUAAUGAAGACGGUGCUUGCUGCCAUGACAACCACAAGCACUCAGCCACAGUACCCAGGGCUCGGAAGCCAGGAUACCUACAGACUGUUUUAUUCUCCAGCAGGACCAGUGCGUCAAGGGAGGUGGAGGCCAAAG